GUUUAGACCAAGCGAGUCUCAUUGCGUUAAGAUAUUUGAUGCGAUGAUUCACUCUGUUUACAGCGACUACCUCAAGAGUCAAGUCAUUGACCCAUUUGAUUUCAUGGAGAAUGUUUUUGUUUAUUUUUUUAUUAAUUUAUCUUAUGUAUUUUUGUUUUCCAUUGGUCUUUUUUUUUUUUUUCUUUUCUUUUCUAUUGGGGCGACACAUGAGCUAGGUUUCGGGAGACAGGUCAGGUCAUGUUGCAGACUUGUGAUACUGGGCCAGACUGCACGCUGAAGUAGCACCCAAUUUAUAAUGCUAUAUAUAUAUAUCAAAGUGUGGUAAUGUUUACACAGUUAACACCAAACUUGAUUUCCAGACACUAGGAACUGAAGGAGAUGAGGAGGGACAGAGCGGUGAGUGUUAACUAAUUCUUCUCUUAUUCCUACAUUAAUUUCCUUUCUAUUGGUGUUUCUUUUCUUCUCUCCAUCCUGUUAGCUCCCACCAUGGAGGCUUAAUGUGUGGAAAUGGUUCCAGCUUAGCUAUCAGUAAACAACACCGUCACAAUGGAUAAGACACAGCCCGAAGCAUGACCUCUCACCCGGGUACCCACCAGGUUUUGACAGCACGAGAAUGACAGGUUGAUGUCAAGGCAGUGAAUGGCAUCAUGUCCACUCCACCAACUAUACCUCCACAGCACACACACCCUUGCCACCUUGUUUGCCGCAGCGCACGCCUCCUCGUCUUGUGGGAAGGAAAACACCAUCACUCUGGGUCCAGUUUUGAAGAUUCCCUCCCAGUAAGGCACACAGCACUUGUAUGGCAGUAUUGUUAUCUGGCACUGCCGACACUUCCUGAACGCCUACAACAGCACGCUUGGGGACAGUCGACAGGUGUUCACCGUGCCCUGCUACACUAUGCACAUUGGGAACCUCAAGCUGUGCAAGCCUAAGGUAUGCUACUGCUGUUACUACGAAUGUUAAUGAUUUUUAUUUAUUUAUUUAUUAUUUAUUUUUUUAUGGGGUCUUCGUGGUGCACUGAUUCACUCACUCGGCUCACA